UUAUGUAAAGAGAAUACUUAUAUUCUUUCAGCUUAUAUAUAUAAUUGCUAUUACUUGCUGGGCACUCAAAUGCUCAUCCUUGCUUAAAUUAAAUGUUUUCAGUUAUGUAUGAGCAACCCGAAGGCUCAGGCACGAACAAAGGAAAAGGAAAGCUGAUCGAAUAAGUGUGUAUUAUGAGUUAAGGGUUAUAGUUGCAUUGGUAUCUAUUCAAGUAUUGUAAGGAAUGUAUUUGAAGGUCUCGUACCUGGGAAGUAAACUUUGAUUUAUGUAAAUUAAGUUUGAAUGUAAUAUUACUAUUGUAUUAUUUAGCUUAUAGAAAUGGUAUCGUGAAGCACUGAGUUCGGGUUUCAAGUACCCGGAUUCGGGGGCUUAUGGGACCGUCUAGGUAUUAGACACGCGCUACAACUUAUGGGACUCGAUUCCAACAUACGGAGGCCGAGUUAUCUCCUAGUUUGCAAAACUCGCCAACACUUAGGCAAAAAACCGAAAAAGACC
rnacentral:lncRNA from 1 species